AAGGAAUAUUGGUCAAUGGACGCAAGUCUGAACCAGCCAUGCCGCGUGAAGGAUGAAGGUCCUCUGGAUUGUAAACUUCUUUUAUCUGGGACGAAAACGGGAUUUUUAUCUCAAUUGACGGUACCAGAGGAAUAAGCACCGGCUAACUCCGUGCCAGCAGCCGCGGUAAUACGGAGGGUGCGAGCGUUAUCCGGAUUUACUGGGUUUAAAGGGUGCGUAGGUGGGCUUAUAAGUCAGUGGUGAAAUCUCCGAGCUUAACUUGGAAACUGCCGUUGAUACUAUAGGUCUUGAAUUAUCUGGAGGUAAGCGGAAUAUGUCGUGUAGCGGUGAAAUGCUUAGAUAUGACAUAGGACACCAAUUGCGAAGGCAGC
rnacentral:rRNA from 1 species